rnacentral:lncRNA from 1 species
UGGAGCUUGACGACAUCUCCUAACAAUACCCACAUGCACAUCUCUGUCAUCCUUCGAUCACUGAGUCUUGGACUUCAGGGUCUCCUUGUGCCAGUCCACAAGGGAACCAACCCACUCCAUGGUUUUCUGCUUGGCUUCCUCCCAGCUGUAAAGUGACUUAUAUGCCAGAUCUUGCUGAGCCUUCUUGUAAGAGAAGGUGAACACGCUAUUUGACAAUGUCACUCUGUGGUGGUUGAAGGGCGGUCGACAGGUGUAAACUGGCCUCGGCAGGAAGCUCACUAUUUCCAGCAGGAAGCCAAUCCAGUACGUCAGGGAUAAAGGCAGGCUCCAACUGGAAUCAAGGCAGAGGCCGAACUCUUUGCUCAAGGUGUAACUAAGGUUAUCAUAGCUUUGGUGAGGCGUGUCAUCUGAGAUAUAGUAGAACUGUCCUCGGACACUUGGGGCCUUCUUGGGCUCCCGCAGGGCCCUCAAGGCCAGAAUGUGGGCCCAGGCUAUGUUGCCAACAUAGACUGGGUUGACUCUGGAGAACUUGCUGAAACUUGACAGGAUUCCAUGGUUGUUUAGGGCCUCAUUUAUACCGGCAGAAAGGAUUGGGCUUCCUUCCCCAUAGAUAAACAUUGGUCUUACGGCACAAGUGUACAAGGUGCCACCGUUUUUCAGAGUCAGCCCAUUAGCCGCCAGCACAGCC